rnacentral:rRNA from 1 species
UACGGAGGGUGCAAGCGUUAUCCGGAUUCACUGGGUUUAAAGGGUGCGUAGGUGGAUUAGUAAGUCAGUGGUGAAAUCUCCGGGCUUAACCCGGAAACUGCCAUUGAUACUAUUAGUCUUGAAUACCGUGGAGGUCAGCGGAAUAUGUCAUGUAGCGGUGAAAUGCUUAGAUAUGACAUAGAACACCAAUUGCGAAGGCAGCUGGCUACACGAGCAUUGACACUCAGGCACGAAAGC